GUUUGCACUUGUCGGGGAAGGGUGAGAACCUUCGAUUAAGGUUCGACUCGAGCGAAAGCGAGAGAACGUUGCCAACGGCAACGGCCCGUAGGGUGAGGAGCGAAGCGACGAAUAAUCCUUCCCGCACCACCA
rnacentral:sRNA from 2 species